rnacentral:lncRNA from 1 species
CAGUACCAUUUGAGAGCUGAUCUACCAAACAGCACUAGUAUUGGCUCCAGAGGAUGAAUGUUCAUCUGCCCAUUUGGUCAAAGGAAAAGGAAGCAGAAGACUGAUCAUGGAAUUGGGGUGCUGUUGGUGUCUGAAGCAUACGAGACAAUUUUGAAAUUCUUCACACAGCCCUAAAGGAGAGUUCAUCUCAACAGUGUGCACUACGCUACAGCCAGCAAAAGGGGAAGAGAGAAAGGAAGCAGAGAUGCAGAGAAAAUGGUUCUAUUUCUUGCCAUACAGAGUUGCCAAGUACUUUUCAUUUACAUAAAUGACUUAAUGAUGAUUGUAUGAUAUUUAAAAUUACUGCCACCCACCAGAGAUGCCUUAAAACUUUUAUCAAUAUGUCACUUUUACUAUCUAUUUGAUUGUAAAAAUGUAGAUAUCAUUGGGAAAAACAUAGUUUGUUGCCAGUCCCUAAAACCCAACUCUGUGACCCUUCU